rnacentral:rRNA from 1 species
CAGUAGCCGCGGGAAUACGUAGGGUGCAAGCGUUAAUCGGAAUUACUGGGCGUAAAGCGUGCGCAGGCGGUCCGCUAAGACAGAUGUGAAAUCCCCGGGCUCAACCUGGGAACUGCAUUUGUGACUGUAUGGCUAGAGUGUGUCAGAGGGGGGUAGAAUUCCACGUGUAGUAGUGAAAUGCGUAGAUAUGUGGAGGAAUACCGAUGGCGAAGGCAGCCCCCUGGGAUAACACUGACGCUCAUGCACGAAAGCGUGGGGAGCAAACAGGAUUAGAUACCCCGGUAGUCCCUGUCUCUUAUAC